AGCGAACGCUGGCGGCAGGCCUAACACAUGCAAGUCGAACGAGCUCUUCGGAGCUAGUGGCGGACGGGUGAGUAACACGUGGGAACGUGCCUUUAGGUUCGGAAUAACUCAGGGAAACUUGAGCUAAUACCGGAUGUGCCCUUCGGGGGAAAGAUUUAUCGCCUUUAGAGCGGCCCGCGUCUGAUUAGCUAGUUGGUGGGGUAAUGGCCCACCAAGGCGACGAUCAGUAGCUGGUCUGAGAGGAUGACCAGCCACACUGGGACUGAGACACGGCCCAGGCUCCUACGGGAGGCAGCAGUGGGGAAUCUUGCGCAAUGGGCGAAAGCCUGACGCAGCCAUGCCGCGUGAAUGAUGAAGGUCUUAGGAUUGUAAAAUUCUUUCACCGGGGACGAUAAUGACGGUACCCGGAGAAGAAGCCCCGGCUAACUUCGUGCCAGCCGCCGCCGUAAAAC
rnacentral:rRNA from 1 species